UCCCUGAUGGUUCAAUGGCUAAGAUGCUGCACUUCCAAUGCUGAAGGCCUGGGUUUGAUCCCUGGUUGAGGAA
rnacentral:tRNA from 1 species